rnacentral:rRNA from 1 species
UACGUAGGGGGCAAGCGUUGUCCGGAAUCAUUGGGCAUAAAGCGCGUGUAGGCGGCCAGGUAAGUCCGUUCUGAAAGCCCGGGGCUCAACCCCGGGAGGCGGAUGGAUACUGCUUGGCUCGAGUCCGGAAGAGGCGAGUGGAAUUCCCGGUGUAGCGGUGAAAUGCGCAGAUAUCGGGAGGAACACCAGUGGCGAAGGCGGCGACCUGGGCGAAUAUUGACACUGAGGUGCGAAAGCGUGGGGAGCAAACAGG